rnacentral:rRNA from 1 species
UACGGAGGAUGCAAGCGUUAUCCGGAUUCAUUGGGUUUAAAGGGUGCGUAGGCGGGAUGGUAAGUCAGGGGUGAAAGCCAGCAGCUCAACUGUUGAAUUGCCUUUGAUACUGCCAUUCUUGAGUGUGUUUGAAGUGGGCGGAAUGUGACAUGUAGCGGUGAAAUGCGUAGAUAUGUCGCAGAACACCGAUUGCGAAGGCAGCUCACUAAGCCAUUACUGACGCUGAGGCACGAAAGCGUGGGGAGCAAACAGG